rnacentral:rRNA from 1 species
CGCGUAGGCGGCUUUUUAAGUCUGGUGUGAAAGGUUCAGGGCUCAACCCGAACAGUGCACUGGAUACUGGAGAGCUUGAGUUAGGGAGAGGAGAGUGGAAUUCCUGGUGUAGCGGUGAAAUGCGUAGAUAUCAGGAGGAACACCGAUGGCGAAGGCAGCUCUCUGGCCUAUAACUGACGCUGAGGUGCGAAAGCGUGGGAGCAAACG